GACGAACCGUGCAAACGUUAUUCGGAAUCACUGGGCUUAAAGGGCGCGUAGGCGGACAGGUAAGUCAGGGGUGAAAGCCCACGGCUCAACCGUGGAAGGGCCUUUGAUACUGCCUGUCUUGAGGGAGGUAGGGGCGUGCGGAACUUCCGGUGGAGCGGUGAAUGCGUAGAUAUCGGAAGGAACACCGGUGGCGAAAGCGGCGCGCUGGAUCUCUACUGAGCUGAGGCGCGAAAGCCAGGGGAGCAAACGGG
rnacentral:rRNA from 1 species